rnacentral:tRNA from 1 species
GGCGUCCAAGAGUUUUGGUGACCUCGACGCCAUCACUCGGGGAUUUGGCUGGCCAUCCUACUCCUUUGGUCCACGGUUCGAGUCCGUGUGGGCCCACCA